rnacentral:rRNA from 1 species
UACGUAGGGUGCAGGCGUUAAUCGGAAUUACUGGGCGUAAAGCGUGCGCAGGCGGUUUCUUAAGUCAGAUGUGAAAGCCCCGGGCUUAACCUGGGAACUGCGUUUGAAACUGGGAGACUUGAGUGUGGCAGAGGGGGGUGGAAUUCCACGUGUAGCAGUGAAAUGCGUAGAGAUGCGGAGGAACACCGAUGGCGAAGGCAGCCCCCUGGGUUAACACUGACGCUCAGGCACGAAAGCGUGGGGAGCAAACAGG